rnacentral:rRNA from 1 species
UACGUAGGCAGCGAGCGUUGUUCGGAGUUACUGGGCGUAAAGGGUGCGUAGGCGGUUGUUUAAGUUUGGUGUGAAAUCUCCCGGCUCAACUGGGAGGGUGCGCCGAAUACUGAAUGACUAGAGUGCGGGAGAGGAUAGUGGAAUUCCUGGUGUAGCGGUGAAAUGCGUAGAGAUCGGGAGGAACAUCUGUGGCGAAGGCGGCCAUCUGGACCAGCACUGACACUGAGGCACGAAAGCGUGGGGAGCAAACAGG